UUAAAUCAUUAUUUCAGAUUUUAUUACGGUGUAUAUUUACUCUAUUUAUAUCAUAAUACAAAAAAAUAUUAAAAGCCUGACUUUGAUAAAGCGGGACUAAAGGACAUUCAACCCAAAAAUCUUGCCGUUCUAAAACUCACCGAUAACGUUAAUAAAAUUUCAUGAGUACCCAAUUUGAGAGAUUUUUGUUUAUUAAUUCAAUUUUUUUAAUGGAUGAUAAUGGAAUGGUAACCCUGCUGGCGCUAACGCUAUACGCUGGCGGUGCACCAGUGGGAGAUAAUAGGUGAGAAUGCAAAGGCAGGUCAGUUAGCCUAUCGUGAUGAAUACAUCUGUAAUUCAGCACAAUGGUUUCCAAGGGCACCACGUGGAGGUCGACCUGACAGAGUAUAUUUCUAGUAAUGAGAUUGGUAAUUCGCAUUACUAUCAAUCCCUUUCCCCCCCUAAUUUCAUAUUUUCACCGGUCUUUUUUUGUGGAAACAUGCUUAUAAUAAUAUUUUAUUAAAUUUAUAUGUUUAUUACUUCUUAGUGCCUUAGGCUUAACCAAUCAUUAUUAUAGAGAAAGGAAUUAUUAGUAAUGGGACCAACCUUAUUUCCUUGGAAACCGUCGUGAUUAUUUUUUAUUGAAUUCGUUACAAUGGACUAACUGAUCUGCUUUCAACCUCACCUAUUAUCCCUCAUUGGUGCCCCGUCGGCGUAUACUGUAGCCAUUCUAUUAUCUUCCAAUCAUUAUGGUAUUUGGUAUUCAUAUACUACAUGACAUGGAGAAGGAUACAGACUACUUUUUAUCCCGGAUAAAGUCGCGAGUAAAAACUAGUACAGGAUAAUUAACUAGUACAGAAUAAAAACAUUUAUUUAUUUAUUUAACUUCUUACUGCACCAGAAACAUAAAAAUAUACAAUGACAAUUGAACAAUUCAAGUGAAAUGCAGUAACAUAAAAUACAUAUUUAACAUAAAACAUUAUAAGCUCUCAUGACACAGUUAGGUAAAAACAAAAAAAAAUCUAUACAUUCCAGUCAUUUGGGAACAAGAACCAGACUUGGUUAUUUAGAUUGAUCGUUAUCAAUUUGUUUCAACGUAACCGUUAGAACUGUUUACUGCUAACAAAAUGCUGAGUAAGGCUGACACAGCAGCAUGAAACUACUUGUAUGGGAAUGAGAAAGGGCAUGCUACGAUGGUUCGGGUAUAUAGAUAGAAUGACGCAUAAAAGGACAGCGCAACCAAUUAAAAAUAUAUGAAAAGAGUUAGGUUGACCUAUCACGAACAGAUCAAUUUUAUUUGUUUCAUUAAAUCUGCUAAAAUUGGUUGUAUUUCUAUUUUUAUUGAUAUUAUUGUUUUACUAUAUCAGAAUGUAUCGCUUAAAAUUGUGUUCCACAAAAAAUCUACUUGAAUAAUUAAUUAUUUUGAUUUAAAAAUCAAGUUAUUUUGUUUACGAAUCUAAAUUGCUGAAUCGAUCGUGAAAAUUACUACGGGACAAGUCUAUAAGUAUAUACUUUGAGAUAAAAAAUAAUUUUCCAUGCUGGCUUAAAACUAACAAGCAAACAUAAAUACAGAAUACCACCAAAUAGAGAACUCUCCUUCUUUUUUUAAAAUCAAUUGGAAAUUCAGUAAAUUGCGGUUAAUAUUUUUUUUUUUCUUUCUAACGUCAAUAUUGUGAUCGUUGAUGAAUAGAGACGGCAGUGUGUUUGUAGUCAACCUACGUCAUUUAUAACGAUAAAUAGCUACCUUCUAUUACCGUGGAAAUUUCGAGCAUCCUUCUUCAUUAAUUGCAUUCGAAUCACAGCGGUGUAUUUUUUUUUGUUGCGACUUAGAAUGACAAACUAGCUGACGGACCACCUGAUAGAAAGUGCUAACCGUCGCCUACAGCAUAUAGUAUUAUAAUAUUAGUAGCUAUAGGCAUGAACAGCACUAUGGACAUAACAGAGUAUACUGUGUCGCCCAUGGUAACCUUCAUGUGUUGCCAUUUCUGAAAACUAAGGUAUUAUGCCUCUGUACAAUGUAAUUUCCUUACCAUAUAUAAAGAAUAUACUUAUAGAUUGUCCUAUAGAAAUUUUAUUAAAAGUAGUUUAGUUUCUAAAUCAAUAUAUCUGGUUUUGCAACAAGCGAAAUCGAUUGUGCUUAUGGAACAAUCUUAAUUUAUCAUCAUAUCAGCCUUUAACAGUCCACUGCUGGACAUAAUCCUUUCCCAUAAAGGGUGUUUUGCUAAUAGUUUUCACGCAUGGCAGGCGGAUUGGCAACCGCGUGAUAUUUAAAGAGAGACGCGCUGCCUAUCCAUCGACUAUAAACCUUUGUCGCCUCUUACUACCCCUACGAAAGAAGUGGCCUAUUCUAUGCCGGGACCACACGGCGGAUCUUAAUUCACAUUGAUAAUAUUAAAAAAAAUAACUAUGUAACUGAUAGCCUGAUUUUAAUUUAAUAAUUUACUUGUGCUCAUGCGACGAUCAGAUUCGAUUAUCAACGUAUCACUUGUAAUGACUAGGUGAUUACCAGUUUAUAAAUGCCACUAUUAUAUUACAAGCACUACCUAAAACGCACCGCGGCGCCGACCGCCCGUUUGCGUCCCGUUAUUUAUAUCGAAUCAAUAGUUAACUGUUAAACGUUAUCACGACUGCCUUUUGUUAUAUUCGUGCUGGUCACCUUUUUGUUUCAGUCCUUUCUUCAUACAAAACAUCUAGUCUGGCGAAUAAGGUCGCACGGUCAAUUUGUUAUCUAGAAUAUUCUCGGUUAUGGCCAUAAUACUGUUCAUAUCUAUAAACGACGGUUACCACUUUUCAUCAGGGUAACCAUUUAAAUACGUUUGACGGAAUGAUUCGCUUCCCAGAUUAAAAUAACCGUUGUGGUAACCCUACUUAUUAGUCAGAGGAAAGCAGGCCUUGGACUUACGUGGAUUGCAUUUCAACAGGUGAACGGCUACAUAGCAAGCAAGAUGGACCAUCGAUUCCACGUCCCGUUGGAAAUAAAUACCACGACAAAAAAGAAUGGAAAAUAUAAGAGACCUCGUAUUGAAACGGGUUAGAAAAUAUUUCGAACAAUUUUAUGUAAACAAUAUGAUAACGAGAAAAUAUUUAUAACAUCAUGUAUAGACACUCAAGUUUUAUUAAACAAUUUCGUUAUAACAUGUUAUAAAGAAUUUAUUGUAGUGAUUCGAUCAUAAAACAUAUUAAAUUUUAUCCAUUACAUUCUUGGGAAUUGUUGAGUUUCUUUCUUCUCAACUUGAUUAUAUUUCCGUUUACAUUUAUCGAGUCGUUUAUUAGUUGUUUCGACCGAAUAAAUUUUGUGAUUUCGCAUAAGCGUUGCUACUAUUUAAUAUUCUUAUGGCUUUUACUACUUAUUUAUGAUUAUUACCUUGUAUUAUUGGUAUUUAUAAAUUGAAAUAUAAAUUUCUAUGAUAGCAACAUUUACAAUUAUGUUACAAUUUAUUUAAUAAAAUUCUCAUAAUUAUGAGUAAUAAACCAUCUGACUAACAAACAACGCAUAGUAUAAAAAACCUAUGAGUCUAAAAAGAUAUAAGUACCAUGUUUAUUUUUAUAUUUAUGCAACGUGAAAUAACAAACGAGCGAGUGUAUAUAUUAUUCGUAAGUGUAGAAGUAUGAAGUUUUAUAAAAAAGUUCCUUAUUCAUAAAGUAGAUAAGAAAUAAGAAACCGUUGUUUCGUAGGACAAAAAACAGGAAUUGGGAAUCGAAAUUUGUGUUGAAGUUGCAGAUUAAGAAUAUCAUAACAAUUAUCACAUAACUAGUUUAAUAAUAAAAUUUUAAGUGUAUAUUUUAAUUCUAAUUACGUGUAUUACAUUAUGCAUAACUCUGUAAUGAAUUUUCUGCCGAGAUUAUCUUGGAAACUAUAAAAUGGAUAUUUUUUUUUUCAAAAAAGGCAAAACCAGACUUAUUUUCAAAAGGUUUCCUGAGUAUUGGCGACACAUAUAUGACUCCUGGUAUUGCAAGCGUCUAUAGCUAUGGUAACCCUUCAUUAUCAGAUAAGCCGUAUGCUUGUGUAGUAAUAAAAAAUAUAUUAUAAAAGUUAAUUGCACAAACAUGUAUAAGUCAAAGUAGCAAUUAUAGUGACAAACAUAGCAUUUCAAUAUUGUGCCUCAAGCACCUCCUUCCGAUUGUAUCUUGGAGCCUUUGAUGGAGCUAUAAAAAUCAAUGUGACUCGAAUACUAAUCAUGUGGUAAUUAACGAGCUAUUGAACUUGCACGUGGUGCUCGUUCCGAUGAGAUGAGUUCAUUGAAGUCUGUUAACAUUCAAGGAAUACGUUAAUAUUCUCAUACUAAAAUUUAUAUCUGAAUCUGAUUGAAGGAAUACUUUUCUGUGAUAUCAAACUUAUAUUUAUAAAGUGAUAGUUCUUAUUUACAUAACAAUCUACAGAUAUUUCAAGUAGAAAAAAUGGUUACACAAAGUGGAAAAGUUACAAAAUGGUAACCUAAACUUUAGAAAAUUUAGAUAUAAAACAUUUUAUUGCUGUGAAAGGAGAAAUUAAUAUCUAUUCAAACGUAGCCCCCCCCCCCUCCCUCUCAAUUAUUAUAUUAUAACUGUAAUUGUAUUUGAAAAAAUAUUAAUCACCGAGUAAAAAAAUAUUUGUCUAAAAUUUUAAUUUUUCUGCUUCUAAAACAUUUACUUUGUAAUGCACAGCAAUGUGUAUAAUACACAGAGAUAUUUAUUAGCAUAGACGUGUGAACAAGCUAUUUAAUUUUAUUGUAGAUUGCAUUGUUUAUCUACGAGUUAGAAAGAUCAUUUUGAUCACGUUUUAACCUAUUAUCUAUUCCUCCGAUUAUUUAACUACAAAGAAAAUUUUUAUUAGCAUAGACACAAAAGAAUGUGACAUUCCCACGGCCUUUUCGUACAAACUCACGUACCGGCAUAGCUGGCUUCAGUGUGAAAAUAUGCCGAUGCAUGGGCGCUUACUCGCCCGCAAAUCUGUACAGUUAUAGACAACAACACUACUAUUUUGAACUCUAUUAUACAGUAAUAGAAGUUGAAUUAGGAAUGGUAAAUUGCAUUUAAAUGUUUGUCACUGUGUGACGUGAAUUCUCAUUGUAUCACAAUCAUUACGCGCGCCGACUAUCCUUGCGUCAUUGGUUAAAAAGUAUAAAACUUUCUAAGUGUCUGUCAAGUUGCGCACAACUUGAUAUGUCACAAGAAAAGAUUCCGUUUCAUGGCAAUUUACCAUUUAUGUCCAACGAAACUGAAAUACGAUUAAACGAAGAGCACGCAUGCGUGGAAUGCGAAAGUGAAUAAGUAGUAUAUUUCGGCACAAAAAGAUAUAUUGCACUAUUCAUGCAUGCGCAUACGGCUGUUUACAUAACUAAUGUGUAGUCCUUGAAUGUAAGGAUGAAAUUUUUACACUAUUUUACUCGUACUCUCAAUAUUUUUCACUAUUUAAAUGUAAUAUAUAAUUAUAUAUUUUUAUUUUUUGGGAAUACUAAAAAUCUUUUAAAAGGUCGGCAACACACCUGCAAUGCCGUAGGUGUUGUGGGUGAUCAUGGGCGGCGGUAGUCACUUGCCAUCAGGUGAGCCGCAUGCUCGUUUGCCCCCUGUAUUGUAAAAAAAAAAAAAAAACUAAAAAAGAUGAAGUUCGUAAUAGGUGUGUAUUUUUUGUAUAGUAUGUAUAUGGUAUAUUUUCUAAAUACUAAACCGAUAUUGACUAUCUUUUUUGCAAUCGAUAGUAUCCAGUGUUGGUUCCGUUAUAUUAAUUUAGUCGUUGAAGUUGCUGUUUUUUACGAAGCAAAAUUUACUUGUAUUAAAUUUAAAAUUUUCUAUAUAUAUUUUUUUAUAACACAGAGACCAAACGAACAUACUACUCACCUGAUAGUAAGUGACUUCCACCGCGCAUAGGCACCCGCAACACCAGAGGUAUUGCAGGUAUAUUGCCGGCCUAUUAAAAAGUAAUAAGCUCUUUAAUUUAUUUAAAACAAAAGAAAAGAAUAGUACUUAUAUUUUAUUAUAUCUUAAAACUACAUAAUAAAUAUUAUUCAUUUAUUUAUUGUAUAAUCAUUAAUACAUUGUCGUAGCGUCAUAUUCUAAUAUAUAAUCAUAAACAUUACCAUGUUAUCAGCAACAUGCAACCCGUGCAAUGUCAGCUGUUGUCGAUCUGGGCCAACACGAGCACCAGUGUAUACCUAUACUUGUAUACUAGAUACAGAAUAACCGGGCCAACACUCAAGCACUGUUUUCCAACACUGACACUCUAUAAUUGAGCAAUUAUAUUCCUUGCAACAUACUUUUACUUUGGUGUAUCGUGUAUUGCGAUGUGUGUUCGAAUUAAUAGAUGUCAAACGGGAAUUUAAUCUUAGUAAAGUUAUGUAUUCUCUUGGUAGUGAAAUUGAAAUAUGAGUAGUGAUAUCUUAGUCGGAUAACGCGAUCCGGAAUUUCCAAUAUCGAAUCUCAGGUUAAAACUUUUCUUAUUUUUUUUUUUAUUCGUAUUUGGAACUUGGAUAAUAGGUCAUCUACUCUUUGCUUCCGAUAACCUGUCAAACAGUCCUACAGUAAAACACAUUAAAAGAUAUAUAAAAAAAGCUGGCUAAAACACAUAAAAAGGUCGCCGUACAUAAAUAUAAAUGGUAGUGAUAUUUAAUUAAAUGGAAUCCUUAGUAAAAUUAUAAAUGUGAAAGUGUGUUUCUUGUUUUGUUUGUUAACUCUUAUCUCUUUAACUGCUUAACCAAUAAUCAUGAAGUUUAAUAUACACAUACUAUAUAGAACGAAGAAAGACAUAGGUUACUUUUAUUUAACAACGCCCUACGAACAUAUUUCGGUUAUACGAAGUUGCAGAAAAAAGCUAAUAUUUUGUAUAAUUAAGUUAUAAUGGAACGGCACCAGAUCAGAUGUUUCUUUAGUGCAUCGUAAUCCUGUCAUCAUAAAAUACUUAUAACAAAUAUCUCAAUACAUAUUUCUAGUCUUAUGUAGACUAAACUUCUGUUUAGACGGUUAUCGGAUUACUUUUACAAUCCAUUCUCAGUGAAAGGUCAUGUGUCGACCUUUCGUAUUACCCUUCGAUCAUCAUUAAUGAUCGAAGCAUUUACCCAUCUUAUAAGCAGAAUACUAUUUUCGCCUUUCACCCGACACUUUUAUGUCUUCACCAACAUUAUUAUGAUGCCAUGAAUCACUUUGUCAUAUGAGUUAAUAUGUAUAAUGCGAUUAUGUAGACAAACAAAAGAUUUCAGUGACAAAACUGUUAUGAAUUUGCAUUGGCAUGCUUUUACAUUAGUAAGUCCUCGUUUUGGAUAUUCGAUAACUUUAUUAUUCGUUAAAAAAAUCGUUCCCUAACUGCAGUCCACUACUCAGCCUAGUAAUCGAAUAAUUGGAUCAGUAUUCGAAUCUUGUAUUCGUUUUCAAUUGAUUUUUAAUAAAUCGCCAAUCAUUUUAUUACUUUUCCUUUAGUCAUUAGGAGAAAAAUGAAUGAAACGAUAAAAAAGAAACAUAAACGCUUACGAUAAAUUGAUUAUAAUAAGUAUAAAAUUAUAAAACGAAUACUUAAGAUACUCGAAUACUAGUCAAAAGACUCAAGUAUUCGAAUUCUGUAUUCGAGAAUCAUGUAUCCGAAUUCUGUAUAAUAAGUACCUGUUGUACCUAGUACGUAUUCGAGUCAGCUGGACUCGGCAUAUCACUGUUUACAUCUCUACAGCAUAUUCGCAACAGCGGCCAACAAUUGUAAAGAUGUUCCAGUAAAAUUCAUAUAAGUACUGAAUGUUAACGUUGUGAUAAUUUGCAAACACGUUUACGUGAUCAGGAUGUAAUCUGUAAGUGCAUAGGAUUGUUGGCAUGUUGUUUUAUGGUUGUGAACUCAUUGCUACGAGAUGGUUGUGCAAGGAAUACUUGCACCGUUAAGGGAGUUUAUAUCGUAAAGUGGAUUUAAAACUAAGAGAUUACUGUUUGUUUAUGGAGUUUUAUGGGUAUCUUAGCUCUUAUCGCGAUUAGACUUAACAAAAACCUAAAUCUAGCAAUAUGCGUAUUAAUGGCGUAAACUAUACUAUAUUACGUACUUCUUAAUAUUAUAUAAAAAAAGAAAAAUGUUUAGUCGUGCAAUAUGAAUUUAACAACUCAAUUUUUAAAAUUCCUAAGAAAAGUUUUAAAAAGUAUUUUCGAACUUCGAAAGCAAUAUAAAAUACAUAAAUAAAUUUUUAUCGGUCUGUUUAUUGCCCAGACCUAAAUUUUGACAGGUCAAUCAAUUAAUGAAAAAUUAUAAUUAUAAUAAAUAAAAUUAUAUAUAAUAUAAUGAUUUAUACUUAUUCCAGACAAGUACUUCACUGACUUUGACUUAAGAGGCAUUUUGUAGCAAUUCUUUUUUAGAUAUUGCAAACAAUAUGUGGCAUGUUUUAACACGUGUGAUAAAUAAUCAGGCAAUCGCUAGAACAUCUUAUUUAAAACUAUUAUUACUGUGUAAAAGACGUAUAACCAUAUAAUAUAUACUCGUAGUAUCAUAAAUAUGGUAGAAACAAAUUCAAAAGUUAUUUCGAAGCAUUAGAAGUUAUCAUCAUCAUCAUCAUCAUCAUCAUUUUCCUACCCUUAUCCCAAUUAUUAUUUGGGGUCGGCGUAGUUUUAUUAUAUAAAUACAUUACAUAUUACAAAAAAGACUUGGCUUAUAGUUUUACGACCGGCCACCUGCUUGACGUGAACCCUCUUUGGGAAUGCAUUUAUUGAUGGUUUCUGUCACCUACGGUAUGGAGGAAAGGAUUGAGGAAGAAAGGAAGGGAACGUUGGAAAUGCGUGAAGGAAAUUGGUAAAUGAGAGGAAUAAGGGACUUAUGUGGGAAAGGAAAGGGGAGCGGUGGGGGUUACAAGUUAGCAUAAAAUUAAAUAGAUAAUGACAUCAAAAGAGUGAUGAGAUAUUUAUAUCUCUAUGCUCUUAUAUUUUGACAGUUUAAUGUAAAUGAGGUAAAUAAUUAUUGAAUAAUAACUAUCGUAAAUCAUACUAUAUAGUGAUUGUUUAUGUUGGCUUUACUCAGCGGGUCUACCAUGAAAUGUUUUCCGAAAUUUCGGACUCAAUUUCAUGUUUUUGUUUAUACCAAAAUCGGACCAAUAAAUGGAGUUUAACAUUUCGUUCGUCAUACAUCCUAUCAUAAAAAUCCAAAGGAACAAUAUUUUAACAUUUUUAAUAUUUCCAAACGGCUUGUAUUAUGCAAUUUUAAAAUCAAAUUUUUCUUUCGUUUGGCUCCGAAAUUUCGGAAAAUAUUUCAUGCUAGACCCUCAGGUCUUUAAAUGUGGGGAUACUUGAUUAGUUUCGAACUCAAUAGAAGCAUUAUUCAUGAGCGCGGUUUACGGCUGUAUCGCGAGCAGCUCUACGUAACCAGCGCGCUAGAAGCUACCAUGAAAUAAAAUUCCGAGUUUUCGGACUCAAGUUCGUAUUUUCGUUCAUACCAAAAUCGGCCUAGAAAACUAAGUUUAACAUUUGGCUUAUUACAAAUUAUAACAUAAAAGUCUAAAGGAACGAAAUUUUAACAUUUAUAAUAUUUUUGAAUUGUAUAUAUUAUGUAUUUUUAACAUCAAAUUUGGGUUUCGUUCAUCCCCGAAAUUACGGAAAAAAAAUCAUGGUACGCUUUCUGGUUGCGUCGAUUGUCGCCGCGCGCAUGCCUUCGGUGGUAGUGGUAGUGGUAGUGAAACUAAUUGUAUAAAUUGUAUAAAGUAAAAAUAAUUAUAAAUCAUGAAUUACUAACUUAUUGCCAUCUAUAUAAAAUUAUAUAUCUCCAAAUCUUUACACGAAUUAAUUCAAUUACACUGACGCGUUUCCUUUGAUAAAACCGUUUCCUUCCUGCCGCAUAGUCUUAUCAGCUCCGACUCCGUAUUUAUGUAACAUUAUGAUCAUUCAGAAAAUAAAACGUGUUUGUCAAUAAAGUAGUUGGUUAUUAUCAUUGUUGUUAUCAUUUCAUUUUACAACUACUAACAACGAUUUAAAUCUCAGGUGUUUGAUUGUUUCCUGUUUGUCCGGAUUUUCCAAUCUGUUCUAUUAUGUAUUCUAUUUCAAAUUUGUUAGGUGGUAGUUUUAUAAGUCCGAUUGUAUGGUUUAUACUAUCGUUUUACUGGGCACAUAGUCUAAUGACUUUUAGACUUUUGUGUUGCAAUAUUAGUGAUGGAAAUUAACACGAUCAUUUAGAUAAACUAUGAUAAUUUUCCUGAGUUAUUUCGACGUCUCGACUAGAACUAUUGCUUAUGGCACGAGUAGACUGAUAUAGUGGUGCCGUACCUUCGCUUUCGAGGCAGGAGUAUUUUCUUCUAACCACUCAUUGCCUCCAUCAUACAAACUGUAUCCCUAUAGUGAGGGUUUCUGCACACAAACACUGUCUUUAUUUGAUGCAUUUACCAACUGCUUACUAUAGUAAGGUAAUGUUUUUUUUUUUGGAUUACUGGAUUCCAGGUCACGGAGAGUUCGAAACCUUUUUUGUUUCAUAAUUUCAAUCGCUUAACAUUCUUGAAUAAAAACUUCAUUCUGUGGAAAUGGUUUGUGGAUGGUGAAACUCGAUUCAAUGGUUAGUACUCACUUGCAGUAAAUGUUCUGCAAUCGCUAAUUAGCUAGUUUAGCUAUUUUUAAUAGCUGUGAUAUGUUCUUUGACCCUUUCAGCUAUUAUCUGCAUAGUCUGAUCUAUAAUAAGUAUAAAUUACCACAAUUCCAAUUGAUAUUAUAGAAACCUGGUGUUAGAAAAUGCAGUACUUUUGCAAUGGAGAGGGACAGACUGUUGUUAUUUCCAGUAUUAAAAUAACCAAGAUAAAAUAUAACUGAUCAUGAAAUUCAAAUAAUGUUAAAUCUUACUAUGUUGAUUACACUAAAACCGUAAUGUGAGGACCGUUAGUUUGUACAAAUUAUUCACUAACAGGGAUCUGUCUUAACUGUUCUCUACAGGACGACAUAGUAACAUAUAAUGGUAUUACCUCAAAGCCGAUUACGUUAGUAAUUGGGUGAGUGACAAAAGGACUCUUAUGUAAUCCAAUACGCAUAACAUAAAGACAUUCGCCUUUUGUGGAUACAUAUUAUAAUUAUAACGUAAUACUAACACUGUGUUGAGAUAUAUCCGCUAAAUUAUUAUAUGAGUAAAUAGACUAAAAUUAUACAGCGUAUAGUCGUGGAUAACUAAUAUAAAUAUAUUAGGUAUGGAAUAUUUUAUAAGUAACAUGUUUAAUUUCAUAUGAAAUAGGUACAUGUCACAUGCUACUUCCCCUCAUAUAUUAGAUACUGUUACAAAUAGUGCUGAGUGAAAAAGCGUGUUAAGAACCUUUUAGUUACAUCGUUCGUCAUCAUCAUCCUUCAGAUUUUUUUACUUUUUUUUUGACACAGCUUAUUUUGGUCUUAUUUUUUUUUAUUAAUGUUUAACCAUAAUACUUGUCAUGUAUUAUUGCAAUUUCGCAAUGCCCGAUCUGGUAAUAUUACUGCCCCGGACAAAAAUAAUAUUUGUUAUUCUUUUUAACGUUAAGCCGCCCCGAAUUUUCCCGGAUUACUCCCAAGGUUCUAUCAUAAUGUUUUUUUUUUUUAUUUUUUCACACAAAUCUCCAUCUUUUUACAUCAACAUUGUUUUAAAAAUAUUAGUCUAUUCACUGUUGGCAUUCAUCGACUAAAAAAAUCUUAUCAACCCCGUUUCCGUCUUUCAUGACAAAUAAUCGUUUAAAAAAUAUUCUAUUAUACAGGAAAUUAUCCGACAGUGAUCUAGUUCAACUACAUUUAAGAGUAACUAGCUAGUAAACUAGUUGCGUGUAAAUAAAAAAUCGGGUGUGUCGCGUAGAAAAUUGUUAAGGUAUAAAUAGUAACUAAAUCCAAUUUAAUCCUGUACUAGGAGCUUAUCUUGUGGGCGCAGCCGGCGGUAGACGCUUGGAAAAUUGAGAAAAAUGGUGGUUGAAGCGUGUUAGCGUGGGCAAGGGGCGAGGAGGUUGGGGCAUACAUGCCGUGACGACAUCUACAAACUCCGUGACGUAACGAAUGGCGCGCCCCCGUCGCUCGCCGCCUCGUUGGACUCGUGCAACCUCAAGUGUUGACUACUUUUCAAGUUUCUUUAAAGUAUUUUUUUUUUAUUUUAAUCUACUUCAAAAGAAGGCUGUUUUCAUUUUGAUUGUAGUUUUUAUACGUUUGUUACCUUAUAACUCCGUCAGAUGUAAAUCUUCUUCUUGUUCAUCAGCUUUAUUUUUAUAUACAGAUUGGUCAUAUAGAUUUUUUUAAAAGGUUGAUUUAUUAAGACUUUAAAUGAAAAAAAAAAUAGUUUUGCUGCAAUUAAAGGCUGUUUUUUUUAUGAAACAUAUUCUUAAUUAUUGUUAAAGAGUUUUCCAGUCAACAAACAUAAAAGAAAUCUUAAUUUCAAAUGUAUAAUAUUAGUAAUUACAUUUGUUGAAUUUGUUAUAUUGUGACUUUUUUUUUUUAAGUAGGCAGAUUUUAUAUUUAAUGACAGAUAGGUAUAUAGAUAUAGCAUUAAUGUUUAAUGUUCCUGCCUACCAUUGGGGAAAUAGGCGUGACAGAUAUGUAUGUAUAAAUAGAUAAACAAAUACACACAAUUUAUUUGUAUUAAAGGAAUAUACUUGUAUAAGUAUAAAUAAUAUACCUAUACAGAAAAAUACUGUUUAUCUAGGUAUAACAAAUAAUCAACAGAAAUAAUUUAUAAUUCUGAUAUUAUACAAGAAUAAUUUUCAAUUUUGCAUCCCAAUUUACAUUUUUCUACUCGAAUAUACUCAAGUGACAUUUAAAAAAUAAUUUCACGCUACGAAACUCGUUACUGUGGUUACGUAAAUGCAUAGCCAUAGAUGAGUUCGCUAGCGCCUGUUGCGUUUCGAUUUACGAGUAUGUAGGCGUGUCGGGAUGUUGGGAGAUUGGGGUGUUUUUCGCAAUUAUGGGUAAAAAUAUAUCUCUUAGAGAAGUUUUGGAAAGAAAAAAAUAUCGUGAACAAGUUUAGGUGCCUAUUUUAAUUUUUAGUUUUGAUACUUGCAAAUCGUAAAUGCACCCGUGUAAAUCAUUAUGUUUAUAUUGUAUCCUAUGUUUUAAGUUAUAAAAUAAUAUAUCUGUCUAAAAUUUAUUCAAAUACAUUCGGUAGUUUUUACAUUAAUGGGAAACGAACUA